rnacentral:rRNA from 1 species
CGAACGCUGGCGGCAUGCCUAAUACAUGCAAGUCGAACGAGCUUCCGUUGAUUGACGUGCUUGCACUGAUUUCAACAUUGAAGCGAGUGGCGAACUGGUGAGUAACACGUGGGAAAUCUGCCCAGAAGCAGGGGAUAACACUUGGAAACAGGUGCUAAUACCGUAUAACAACAAAAACCGCAUGGUUUUUGUUUGAAAGGUGGCUUCGGCUAUCACUUCUGGAUGAUCCCGCGGCGUAUUAGUUAGUUGGUGAGGUAAAGGCCCACCAAGACAAUGAUACGUAGCCGACCUGAGAGGGUAAUCGGCCACAUUGGGACUGAGACACGGCCCAAACUCCUACGGGAGGCAGCAGUAGGGAAUCUUCCACAAUGGACGAAAGUCUGAUGGAGCAAUGCCGCGUGAGUGAAGAAGGGUUUCGGCUCGUAAAACUCUGUUGUUAAAGAAGAACACUUCUGAGAGUAACUGUUCAGAAGUUGACGGUAUUUAACCAGAAAGCCACGGCUAACUACGUGCCAGCAGCCGCGGUAAUACGUAGGUGGCAAGCGUUGUCCGGAUUUAUUGGGCGUAAAGCGAGCGCAGGCGGUUUUUUAAGUCUGAUGUGAAAGCCUUCGGCUUAACCGGAGAAGUGCAUCGGAAACUGGGAAACUUGAGUGCAGAAAAAGACAGUGGAACUCCAUGUGUAGCGGUGGAAUGCGUAGAUAUAUGGAAGAACACCAGUGGCGAAAGCGGCUGUCUAGUCUGUAACUGACCCU